rnacentral:ncRNA from 1 species
AUAAAUGCGAUGAAGAGGAAUAGUAGAAUGAUGAAAGCAUCCAGAGAGCUGCUGGUCGGUGCGAAGCAGUAGUGGACAUGAUUUGAACUCGCCUCUGAGCAGCCUGUUGAACCGCAUGAUUGCAGUAGGCAGCGCCGGAAACCUGACCGUUACAGCAGGAGGAUAUAAGGCUUUUUAAGUCCGUAUCUGUAAUGAGUGCAUACCUUACUUUUUAUGUAUCGUAUGAAUAAGAGUGGUACCGCGGAAUUAUUUUCUCCGUCUCUUUU